UACGUAGGGACCGAGCGUUGUCCGGAAUCAUUGGGCGUAAAGAGCGUGUAGGCGGCUUGCUAAGUCUUGCGUGAAAUCUCGGGGCUCAACCCCGAGCGGUCGUGGGAAACUGGCAGGCUAGAGUGCGGGAGAGGAGAAUGGAAUUCCUGGUGUAGCGGUGAAAUGCGCAGAUAUCAGGAGGAACACCGAUGGCGAAGGCAGGUCUCUGGGCAUUAACUGACGCUGAGGAGCGAAAGCAUGGGGAGCAAACAGG
rnacentral:rRNA from 1 species